UGGGGAAUAUUGCACAAUGGGGGAAACCCUGAUGCAGCAACGCCGCGUGAAGGAAGACGGUUUUCGGAUUGUAAACUUCUGUUCUUAGUGAAGAAUAAUGACGGUAGCUAAGGAGCAAGCCACGGCCAACUACGUGCCAGCAGCCGCGGUAAUACGUAGGUGGCAAGCGUUGUCCGGAAUUACUGGGUGUAAAGGGAGCGCAGGCGGGAGACCAAGUCAGCUGUGAAAACUACGGGCUUAACCUGUAGACUGCAGUUGAAACUGGUUUUCUUGAGUGAAGUAGAGGUUGGCGGAAUUCCGAGUGUAGCGGUGAAAUGCGUAGAUAUUCGGAGGAACACCGGUGGCGAAGGCGGCCAACUGGGCUUUAACUGACGCUGAGGCUCGAAAGUGUGGGGAGCAAACAGGAUUAGAUACCC
rnacentral:rRNA from 1 species